rnacentral:lncRNA from 1 species
GCUCCCUACCCCCGAAUCCUCUCUCUCCCUCCCCUCUGUCCUCGCGGCCAGUCCCCAAGGCGAGGCCCCACCGCUCCACGCCAGCUUCUCCCACACCUGGCAGCAGACAGCAGGGGCCCCGGAGCCGGUCCCUGGCACCGCCGUGCGGUUCCUGCAGGCUCUACGGGUGCCUCCCAGACUUAGCGCCGUGCGGGGACCCGGACCUCCGCGACCAGAGAGCGCGCUGCUCCACGGACUCGCCGGCCCGAGGAGGGUCCCGCGCCCCCCGCACCCACUCGGGACAGCCCGCUCGGGUCUGCACCGCAGGUAGGAAGUAUCCGAAGAGCUCGGCUGCCCGGGACUCAUGCACACUCUCCCGGGUUGCCCAGCCACCCUCGCCCGCACCCGCGUCGGCGCUGCGCCCCUCUCCGGCUCGGCUCGGGGCAGCCUGACUCACCGCUGCGCUCCCCUCCGGCUCCCAGCGCGCUGUGC